rnacentral:lncRNA from 1 species
GACCCGGUGGCUGAAAGGGCAAGAGAGGAACCUAAUUGUAAACCAAAACCCAGCCGUCGGAGGGCCGUAGGUUUCCCACGCUGCUCUAACCGCUACGUGGCACUGCCUGCCGCAUCCCUCCUGAAACAAAGGGCAGCUCCUUUCAGGUCUCCGUCCCACAACCCGCCUCAAGACGAGACACGGUUCCCUCCGCCGGCCCCUGUGACAUCAGCCGCCCUUCCCCCCGCCCCCGAGUCCCCUCAGGCCGCUCACCUUGACCCGCACGCGGACCACCUCGUGCUCCUCCUCCUCUGGCGCCCCCGCCCCGCCCCCUCCCGGCGCCCCCGCCGCCGCCAUCCCGGCGGCCCCUCCACCUUCUGGCGCGUCUUGAGGGCGGGGGGAGGAGGCGCCUCGCGCCGGGGCCGUUGCAGCCCCCUCCCCCUCCACGUCACGCGCCCGGCGGGGGGGGGAGGAAGGGGAAGAGGGCCCCGCGCAGUCAGCCGCCUCGCUCCGCCGGGACUCCCGCGUCAGGCAGGCGGGGGGCAGGCGGACGGAGAGGCGCCGCUUCCAUCACGUGACCUCCUCCCCGCGCCGGCUACUUCCGCCCCGUCCGGCGCUGACGUCACCGCCCCGGCCUUAAAGGCGCAGAGCGCGAAGUUUGCUCAGAGAAAUCUUGGAUGGUAUAUUCUUAUGAUAGUGUACACGAUGAGAAGUGAUCCUCUUUCAAACUGCUUCCAGCUCACAAACAAAAAAGACUUGUUAUUUCUCUCAGAUAUUAUGUCAGUGGUUAGUUACACUUUUCGGAAAUUCUUCAAGAACCACAAGACUGGAAGUAGGCAGACGUUGGAGCAAUACUGCUUAAUACAACGAUUGACCAGGACUGCUGUGAACAUUUUUGGAUAUUGAUUCAGAAGAUUAAGAAGGCAAAAUGAAUUAAUAUUAUUAAUUUUUUUAAAUCUGCGUAUGGGAAUUAAUCUAAUACAAAUAUGUUUCCCUGUACCUGGCACAUCAACACCUCUUUAUAUUGUGUUAAAUAAUAUUUCCAAUUGUAGAAUUGAAAAGUCUUUGUGGUGUUGUUGUUUUUAAAAAAUAAAAGCUAGAAAG